rnacentral:rRNA from 1 species
ACGAACGCUGGCGGCGUGCUUAACACAUGCAAGUCGAACGGAAAGGCCCUGCUUUUGUGGGGUGCUCGUGUGGCGAACGGGUGAGUAACACGUGAGUAACCUGCCCUUGACUUUGGGAUAACUUCAGGAAACUGGGGCUAAUACCGGAUAGGAGCUCCUGCUGCAUGGUGGGGGUUGGAAAGUUUCGGCGGUUGGGGAUGGACUCGCGGCUUAUCAGCUUGUUGGUGGGGUAGUGGCUUACCAAGGCUUUGACGGGUAGCCGGCCUGAGAGGGUGACCGGCCACAUUGGGACUGAGAUACGGCCCAGACUCGUACCGGAGGCAGCGGUGGGGAAUAUUGUACAAUGGGCGGAAGCCUGAUGCAGCAACGCAGCGUGGGGGAAGAGGGCCUGCGGGUUGUAAUCCGCUUUCGCCUGUGACGAAGCGUGAGUGACGGUAAUGGGUAAAUAAGCCCCGGCUAACUACGUG